AUGAAGUCUCAGCGGGUGGAACUGAGCGCGAUUGAAGAAGCAAGAUCGACGGAGAAGGAAAAAGGCGUAGAGGAAUGUGAAUAUGAUGGAAUAAUCUGUGAAGUUGAAGCAAAUACGGAUGAUGAUAUGACGACAAAGACGAUGGUGUCACGGUGUUGGAGAGGAAUCGUAUGUGAAGGGGAAAGAAAGAUCGCUCCGCUGUUGAAUCUGAGAAGAGGAAGACGAGUCUUCAUGAAGCUCAAGGGUCAUAAAUUUCAACCUUAA